rnacentral:rRNA from 1 species
GAGCUGGGUUUAGAACGUCGUGAGACAGUUCGGUCCCUAUCUGCCGUGGGCGUUGGAGAAUUGAGGGAAGCUGCUCCUAGUACGAGAGGACCGGAGUGGACGAACCCCUGGUGUUCCGGUUGUGUCGCCAGACGCAUUGCCGGGUAGCUACGUUCGGACAGGAUAACCGCUGAAAGCAUCUAAGCGGGAAGCCCCUCCCAAGACUAGUUCUCCCUAACCCCCUUGAGGGUUCUUAAGAGCCGUCCAAGACUAGGACGUUGAUAGGCUGGGUGUGGAAGCGUUGUAAAGCGUUGAGCUAACCAGUACUAAUUGCUCGUGCGGCUUGACCAU